AACGAACGCUGGCGGCAUGCCUAACACAUGCAAGUCGAACGAAACCUUCGGGUCUAGUGGCGCACGGGUUCGUAACGCGUGGGAACCUUCCCUUAGGUUCGGCAUAACUCCCCGACAGGGGUGCUAAUACCGGAUAAUGUCUUCGGACCAAUGAUUUAUCGCCCUUGGAUGGGCCCGCGUUGGAUUAGCUCGUUGGUAGGGUAAAAGCCUACCACGGCGACGAUCCAUAGCUGGUCUGAGAGGAUGAUCAGCCACACUGGGACUGAGACACGGCCCAGACUCCUACGGGAGGCAGCAGUGGGGAAUAUUGGACAAUGGGCGAAAGCCUGAUCCAGCAAUGCCGCGUGAGUGAUGAAGGCCUUAGAGUUGUAAAGCUCUUUUAACCGGGAUGAUAAUGACAGUACCGGGAGAAUAAGCCCCGGCUAACUCCGUG
rnacentral:rRNA from 1 species